rnacentral:rRNA from 1 species
CUGGAAGAAUCUGGAGACAGGUGCUGCAUGGCUGUCGUCAGCUCGUGUCGUGAGAUGUUGGGUUAAGUCCCGCAACGAGCACAACCCUUGCCUUUAGUUGCCAGCAGUUCGGCUGGGCACUCUAAAGGGACUGCCGGUGUUAAACCGGAGGAAGGUGGGGAUGACGUCAAGUCCUCAUGGCCUUUAUGACCAGGGCUACACACGUACUACAAUGGCCGAUACAAAGGGCAGCGACACUGCGAAGUGAAGCCAAUCCCGUAAAAUCGGUCUCAGUCCGGAUUGGAGUCUGCAACUCGACUCCAUGAAGUUGGAAUCGCUAGUAAUCGUGGAUCAGCAUGCCACGGUGAAUACGUUCCCGGGCCUU